rnacentral:rRNA from 1 species
UAGUGGCGAACGGGUGAGUAACACGUGGGCAAUCUGCCCUUCACUCUGGGACAAGCCCUGGAAACGGGGUCUAAUACCGGAUAUGAGCCUGGGAGGCAUCUCCUGGGCUGUAAAGCUCCGGCGGUGAAGGAUGAGCCCGCGGCCUAUCAGCUUGUUGGUGAGGUAAUGGCUCACCAAGGCGACGACGGGUAGCCGGCCUGAGAGGGCGACCGGCCACACUGGGACUGAGACACGGCCCAGACUCCUACGGGAGGCAGCAGUGGGGAAUAUUGCACAAUGGGCGAAAGCCUGAUGCAGCGACGCCGCGUGAGGGAUGACGGCCUUCGGGUUGUAAACCUCUUUCAGCAGGGAAGAAGCGAGAGUGACGGUACCUGCAGAAGAAGCGCCGGCUAACUACGUGCCAGCAGCCGCGGUAAUACGUAGGGCGCAAGCGUUGUCCGGAAUUAUUGGGCGUAAAGAGCUCGUAGGCGGCUUGUCACGUCGAUUGUGAAAGCUCGGGGCUUAACCCCGAGUCUGCAGUCGAUACGGGCUAGCUAGAGUGUGGNAGGGGAGAUCGGAAUUCCU